rnacentral:sRNA from 1 species
UCAUUGAAAGCGAGAGCAAAAUCUCGUGGAAAGGAGAGAAAAAAGGAAGGAAGGGGAAGGGACAGUAGAGAAGAGAAUUGAAAGAUAUUUACAGACAGUAAGCAAGAAGUUUGUCGAAACAACUCAAAAAGGGAACAUAAAUACCUGAACAAUCAGCUAUGCAAAGUAUAAUAUAUACCUGAACAAUCAGAUGUGACACAAAGUGCAUAAUGAAUGAAUAGUCAAAGAAAUGGUGAAGGCCCAAUGAUUCUUUUACAGCAUAAAUUAUAUUUAAUCUAAGUUUUAAUAAUUAGUUUUUAGUUACGCAUUGUAUUCCGUAAACGUACAUACCUAUAUAACGUAUAUACCGUAUAUACCUAUAUAAAUGGGCAAUGUUCCUGGUUGAAUAGUUCAAAUAUACACCACAGAGAAAUCUAUUUACAAACUAAAAUCUUAAUACUAUCGUGUAGUAUCGCACCCCAUGCAAACGUUCAUAUAUCAUAUAUAUCACAUAGUAUAUACUAUUGUAACCAACAUGAAAAUUACUGUAACCAUGUGUAGAUUGUAACCAUCAUAAAUUAUAUACUUAGAGAUGUGGUUCUACUAAUAAAGCUUUUUAUGUAGUAAAAGCUACAAAU